CGUAGGGCGCGAGCGUUGUCCGGAUUUAUUGGGCGUAAAGAGCUCGUAGGCGGCUUGUCGCGUCGUCCGUGAAAACCUGCAGCUCAACUGCAGGCUUGCGGUCGAUACGGGCAGGCUAGAGUUCGGUAGGGGAGACUGGAAUUCCUGGUGUAGCGGUGAAAUGCGCAGAUAUCAGGAGGAACACCGGUGGCGAAGGCGGGUCCCUGGGCCGAUACUGACGCUGAGGAGCGAAAGCGUGGGGAGCGAACAGGAUUAGAUACCCUGGUAGUCCACGCUGUAAACGUUGGGCGCUAGGUGUGGGGGGCCUCUCCGGUUCUCUGUGCCGCAGCUAACGCAUUAAGCGCCCCGCCUGGGGAGUACGGCCGCAAGGCUA
rnacentral:rRNA from 1 species